rnacentral:rRNA from 1 species
AUGCGAUCCACGACAACCGACCGUAACAUAGCAAUCACCAAUAUUUAUACACCUUCUUCCCGCGCCCUCAAACAAUCUUUCCUCGAUGAGUUACUUGCUAUCUCACAACCAGACGACUCACCAUGGUUGCUUGUGGGCGAUUUCAACCUACUCCGUUACCCCUCCGACAAGAAUAAUGACGCUUUUAGACAAUCCGAAGCCAAUGCAUUUAACCAAACCCUUGAUGAUCUCGCCCUCAUCGAACUACCACUUCUAGACCACCAAUAUACUUGGUCCAACAAUAGAGCAACACCCACCCUAGAAUGUAUCGAUCGUGCCUUCUUCAACUUAGCUUGGGCAAAUGCUUUCCCAAACUCCCCCCUCUCCUCCCUCACGCGUUUCACAUCUGACCAUGUACCCCUCCUCAUACACGUCACCACAACGAUACCGCGGUCCAAUUUUUUCAAAUUCGAACCUGGUUGGGCCCAAUUAUGGCCCUGCGCUGACAUUAUCAGCAAUGUUUGGGCCUCCUCGCGGCCCACAACACCCGCUAACUCUGCCGCCACCCUUGCCGCCUUGCUAAAAAAGACUCGGGCCGAGCUCAAAAAAUGGGCUCGCUCUCGUAUUCCCGCCCCCUCUGCGAAUCUCGAUGCAAAACCGCCAUCGCCGCCCUCGAUCACGCAGAAGAAUUCAGGCCUCUAUCUCCGCCCGAACUCCUCACUCGCAAAAUCAUCGUAUCCCUCCUAA